AUCUCCCGGCUGGGCGAGACUCGGGUUAAACAGGCGAUGCCAGGCCCUACCGGAUCUGCAACCGGCGCUAGCGGCCCAGCGUCCACGGCUGGUUUAAAGGGGCGCUGCCGAAAUCCAACCCUGGUUAUCAGACCUCCUCCUUCGGAGGGGGUGCACGCCGGCAGAGAGCCCCCAAAUUAGUCAGUCUUAUCGCAAAGGUAGCUUAGCGCUCUCGGAAUCCAGCAUCAGGUGCCGCUAGACUCAUUCAUGUAUUCGUCCAAGAAAUUGAUUCAUUCAGCAAAUAUUUACUGCCCCAUUGUUAGAGGAACUUUCAUUGUAGUAGGGAGAAAGACGGUAAUAAAUACAGAUAAAAUAGUGGUAUCAUGAGGAAAAAUAAAGCAGGGAAUGGGAAAUAGAUGUCUGUUUAACAUAGCGUGGACAGGGGACAUUUCAUCAGUUCUUUCCGCAGAUAAUUUGUGAAAUUGCCCGUGAUGGGCCAGGCGGUGUUCUAGACCCUGGAGAUACAGAGGCGUAUCAGGACAGACAAGAAUCCCUCAUGCAGCUUAAGUGCUAGCAGGAGAGACAGAAAAUAAACGAGAUACAUUAGUAAAAUUAAAUACUGUUAGGCAGUGCUAAACGAGAGAGAGAAAAAUAAAAGCAGGGGAUAGAGAUGGGGAAUAAGGAAGUGGUCAUUUUAGACAGACUGGCUAGGUGAGGAGGAAGGUCUCAAGAAAAAGGUGACCUUUGACUGAAGACCAAGGGAGGCAAAGGAGUAGUCCUGUGGACCCCUGGGGGAAGAGCAGAGGGAACCCCAAAGGCCCUGUUACCUGGGUGCUUGGCCUGCUCAAGGAAAGCCAGUGUGGCUGGAGCUCCAUUGGGGCGCCUGGAUGGCUCAGUCCAUUAAACAUCUGACUUCGGCUCAAGUUAUGAUCUCCGGGUUGAUGAAAGAUGGCAUACUUCAACUGCAUUUGGGGAAGAUACAAGGUGCGCUGAAUGUAGGUACAGAAAGGUCCCUUAUUUUGAUUGACAAGAUCUUAGGUCAGGAAUACCAGAAGAGGGGCUGAUGCUGGGAGGAGAGAGGAGUCAAGCAGUGGCUGAAGUGAAGGAAGAACAUUUCCUUAUUCUUUAAUCCUCUAAAUCCCUUUUAGUUCCUUACUUAAUCUCCUCACCCCUCCCCAAACACAGCCACUCGUGAAACAGAAAUUCUAGAAAUAAAGUUUGCACUUAGCAUUCUCCCAGUCCCUUGGGAUCCCCCAUUAAUGAAUACAACCACUGUCAGAAAAGCCCAACAACAAAAAAUAAUCUUCAAAACUCCUAUACUUUAAAUUACUAAAGCACAUCUUUAUUUUGCAAUUGAACAAUUAAAAGUCACAGCUAGAGUUUUUUCACGUCUGUACCUGAACAACUAUUUCUCAAUCAAAAUGAAAUAUGGCCAACAAAAUAUGUGUAAUAGCAUUGCACGUAACAAGUUGCUCUUAGGACUAAAACAGUUUUAAUGUGAAUCAGCAUUUUAAUC